rnacentral:rRNA from 1 species
CACGUAGGGCGCGAGCGUUGUCCGGAAUUAUUGGGCGUAAAGAGCUCGUAGGCGGCCUGUUGCGUCCGCUGUGAAAGCCCGGGGCUUAACCCCGGGUCGGCAGUGGAUACGGGCAGGCUAGAGGUAGGUAGGGGAGAAUGGAAUUCCCGGUGUAGCGGUGAAAUGCGCAGAUAUCAGGAGGAACACCGAUGGCGAAGGCAGGUCUCUGGGCCACUACUGACGCUGAGAAGCGAAAGCAUGGGGAGCGAACAGG